rnacentral:rRNA from 1 species
CCUCCGUUGUUCCGCCGUUCUUACUAUUGGUCCAUGGGCGGGAGCCUGAACCAGCCAAGUCGCGUGAGGGAAGACGGUCCUAUGGAUUGUAAACCUCUUUAGGCGGGGAGCAAUGCCGGGCACGCGUGCCCGGAGGGAGAGUACCCGCAGAAUAAGCAUCGGCUAACUCCGUGCCAGCAGCCGCGGUAAUACGGAGGAUGCGAGCGUUAUCCGGAUUUAUUGGGUUUAAGGGGUGCGUAGGCGGAUUUUUAAGUCAGCGGUAAAAGGUCCGGGCUCAACCCGGGCCGGCCGUUGAAACUGGGGAUCUUGAGUGGGCGAGAAGUAUGCGGAAUGCGUGGUGUAGCGGUGAAAUGCAUAGAUAUCACGCAGAACUCCGAUUGCGAAGGCAGCAUACCGGCGCCCGACUGACGCUGAGGCACGAAAGCGUGGGGAUCGAACAGGAUUAGAUACCCCGGUAGUC